GAUUAAGUGCUUAAUCAAUCAUUACAUUCCAAGGCAUGGGUUUCCCAAGAGAAUUAGAUCAGACAAUGGUACUCACUUCAAGAAUAAAGAUUUGCAAGAGGUAGAGAGGAUGAACCUAAAUUUGAAAAACAAGUUGGCUAAAAUUUGUGCGCAGACAGGGCUAAAUUGGGUCGCAGCCCUGCCCAUUGCUUUGAUGACCAUAAGAUGUUCUGUUAACCAAUCCACAGGUUUCACCCCUUAUGAGCUGCUGACUGGGAGACAGUUUCCAGCACCCUGGACAGUGGUCCCGGUGGAGCAGCCCAGGACAAGCAACAGGUCGCAUGCAGAAUAUUUUAAUGAGUUGAAAGCUCUUGUGUCCAGCUUUACAAAACAGGUCACUUGUGAGAGACCCACGGGGAACGGAGAGGUCCCGGACGCAAAGGCAGUGUGGCUGAAGGUCAUUAAGCGAAAGUGGAAGGAGCCCCGCUGGACUGGUCCGUAUGAGGUGACCGCCCGGACGGCUACAGCAGUCCAGCUGAAAGGGAAAGGCGACACCUGGUACCAUUGGUCGCAGUGUGCACCCGCACACGAGAGCUUGGUGGAGGAAAAUUCGUCUUCAAAGAACGCAGGUGUCAAGAAACAGAGGCAGAAUAAACCUCUUCACCUGUGCAACGGGCCGACCAGUAGUCUACCUGGAAGGCCGAAGAAAGAAGAGCAGCCUAGGAGGAGAUCGCCGCGCCUACAAAAAGGAGUGGGGUGGUUUAAAUAAAAAAAAAAGGGGAAAGUGGAAGGGGCUUGUUCUGUCAAUUAUGUUGUCUCUAUCUGUAUUGGUGGGUAUUUUGGUGACCUGUGGUUGUUGUCUCAUUCCUUGUGC
ensembl:lncRNA